UUUUGAAUUCCAACGGUCGAGAAGAGAUUGAUCCCCGUCUGCUGAUUUAAAUUGGUGUUCUGACAGAAAUAUUGUUGUGCGGAUUUACACUAAAACACGAAAGAGCCUGAACCGCAACAGUGUCACAAGUUGCUUUACAUCACAAACAAAAAGAUGCAAGACUGCAAACUUUCCAGUACUCCUGUGUACUGAUAAUCCGGUUUCCACCCAGUCCCAGGAGAUUAUAUUAAACCUGGAAAAUAUUGGAGAAGAUGAAUUAAGUUUUCAGGAGCAGAUUACUGUGAUAAAUGCUGAACUAUGUAAAAGACAACCUGACUACACCAACAUAUCAAAAAUCUAAUGAGGUGCGCUCUUUUUAAAAGAGUUGAUUUAAUGACAAAAUCAACAUGAGAGGUCAUGGACAUGUUCCCAUUUCUUCGGGUUCCACAACUUCUGAGUAUUUGUUUUUAGUGUUGUUUCCUUUGAGUUUAGUAUUUCCACUGCAUUUUCAAUUUUUUUUUGUAUGAAUAAAAAGUCAAAAUUGUUUUAAUGAAUUUUUCUUUCUUUCUUUCUUCUUUUUUUGGUAGCUGCUCCAUGAAGUGAAGAUGCAGUUUGGGAAGGACCUUCAUCUUAAUCUAGAGACUAGACUUCAAGUUCUGAACAGUUUAAAUUAAAUCAAAUUAAAUUUAUGCAUUUAG